rnacentral:rRNA from 1 species
GACGAACGCUGGCGGCGUGCUUAACACAUGCAAGUCGAACGAUGAACCACUUCGGUGGGGAUUAGUGGCGAACGGGUGAGUAACACGUGGGCAAUCUGCCCUUCACUCUGGGACAAGCCCUGGAAACGGGGUCUAAUACCGGAUAACACUGCCAUGGGCAUCUGUGGUGGUUAAAAGCUCCGGCGGUGAAGGAUGAGCCCGCGGCCUAUCAGCUUGUUGGUGAGGUAAUGGCUCACCAAGGCGACGACGGGUAGCCGGCCUGAGAGGGCGACCGGCCACACUGGGACUGAGACACGGCCCAGACUCCUACGGGAGGCAGCAGUGGGGAAUAUUGCACAAUGGGCGAAAGCCUGAUGCAGCGACGCCGCGUGAGGGAUGACGGCCU